CCUACGGGAGGCAGCAGUGAGGAAUAUUGGUCAAUGGGCUUACGCCUGAACCAGCCAAGUCGCGUGAGGGAAGACUGCCCUAUGGGUUGUAAACCUCUUUUGUCAGGGAGCAACGCCGGCUACGUGUAGCCUUACUGAUAGUACCUCAAUAAAAAGCAUCGGCUAACUCCGUGCCAGCAGCCGCGGUAAUACGGGGGAUGCGAGCGUUAUCCGGAUUUAUUGGUUUUAAGGGGUGCGUAGGCGGAAUGCCCAGUCAGCGGUAAAAGCGCGGGGUUCAACCACGAUCCGCCGUUGAAACUGGCGUUCUUGAGUGGGCGAGAAGUAAGCGGAA
rnacentral:rRNA from 1 species